CAGCCGCCACGGGAAUACAGAGGGUGCGAGCGUUAAUCGGAUUUACUGGGCGUAAAGCGUGCGUAGGUGGUGGUUUAAGUCCGUUGUGAAAGCCCUGGGCUCAACCUGGGAAUUGCAGUGGAUACUGGGUCACUAGAGUGUGGUAGAGGAUAGUGGAAUUUCCGGUGUAGCAGUGAAAUGCGUAGAGAUCGGAAGGAACAUCUGUGGCGAAGGCGACUAUCUGGGCCAACACUGACACUGAGGCACGAAAGCGUGGGGAGCAAACAGGAUUAGAUACCCCUGUAGUCCCUGUCUCUUAUAC
rnacentral:rRNA from 1 species